GUUAAGUCCCGCAACGAGCGCAACCCUCGCCUUUAGUUGCCAGCAUUAAGUUGGGCACUCUAGAGGGACUGCCGGUGAUAAGCCGGAGGAAGUGGGGAUGACGUCAAGUCCUCAUGGCCCUUACGGGCUGGGCUACACACGUGCUACAAUGGUGGUGACAGUGGGCAGCGAGAUCGCGAGAUCGAGCUAAUCUCCAAAAACCAUCUCAGUUCGGAUUGUUCUCUGCAACUCGAGAGCAUGAAGUUGGAAUCGCUAGUAAUCGUGGAUCAGCAUGCCACGGUGAAUACGUCCCCGGGCCUU
rnacentral:rRNA from 1 species